GAUGAACGCUGGCGGCGUGCCUAAUACAUGCCAGUCGAGCGAACGGACGAGAAGCUUGCUUCUCUGAUGUUAGCGGCGGACGGGUGAGUAACACGUGGAUAACCUACCUAUAAGACUGGGAUAACUUCGGGAAACCGGAGCUAAUACCGGAUGAUAUUUUGAACCGCAUGGUUCAAAAGUGAAAGACGGUCUUGCUGUCACUUAUAGAUGGAUCCGCGCUGCAUUAGCUAGUUGGUAAGGUAACGGCUUACCAAGGCAACGAUGCAUAGCCGACCUGAGAGGGUGAUCGGCCACACUGGAACUGAGACACGGUCCAGACUCCGACGGGAGGCAGCAGCAGGGAAUCUUCCGCAAUGGGCGAAAGCCUGACGGAGCAACGCCGCGUGAGUGAUGAAGGUCUGCGGAUCGUAAAACUCUGUUAUUAGGGAAGAACAUAUGUGUAAGUAACUGUGCACAUCUUGACGGUACCUAAUCAGAAAGCCACGGCUAACUACGU
rnacentral:rRNA from 1 species